CCUACGGGAGGCAGCAGUGAGGAAUAUUGGUCAAUGGACGAGAGUCUGAACCAGCCAAGUAGCGUGAAGGAUGACUGCCCUAUGGGUUGUAAACUUCUUUUAUAUGGGAAUAAAAUGUUCCACGUGUGGGAUUUUGUAUGUACCAUAUGAAUAAGGAUCGGCUAACUCCGUGCCAGCAGCCGCGGUAAUACGGAGGAUCCGAGCGUUAUCCGGAUUUAUUGGGUUUAAAGGGAGCGUAGGUGGAUUGUUAAGUCAGUUGUGAAAGUUUGCGGCUCAACCGUAAAAUUGCAGUUGAAACUGGCAGUCUUGAGUACAGUAGAGGUGGGCGGAAUUCGUGGUGUAGCGGUGAAAUGCUUAGAUAUCACGAAGAACUCCGAUUGCGAAGGCAGUUCACUGGACUGCAUCUGACACUGAGGCUCGAAAGUGUGGGUAUCAAACAGGAUUAGAUACCCCUGUAGUC
rnacentral:rRNA from 1 species